ACAACAAUCAUUCUUCAGUGAGACUUCUUGUUGACACCACAUCUAAGCUAACAUGAGGAUUUCUCUAGCGCUUCUCCUGACCCUUACAGUCCUCUUACUGGCAUCAGAUGUGGAAGCAGAUUGUACGACAUCAAUUAUCAAACGUCCAAAUAAGUGCUCGAACGCUAUUUGCGAGCAGGCUUGCGACGCAAGGCGCCAGACGAUCUGCGGCGAACAAUGUCGUCUUCAGAAGGCCAGUUGUGUUGGAACGUUAUGCGGAUGUACCUGGUGCACAUAGUUGUACUCCCCUAGUUAAUUAAGCUCCCUGUAAAGGGAAGUAUGAUCAUUAGAAAAAAAUAAUUGCAACGCCACAGUAUACAGUGCGGCAACAAGACUUUCACUGGGAAGUUAUGUAGAACAAAAAAUUAA